ensembl:snRNA U6 U6 spliceosomal RNA
GUGCUUGCUUCAGCAGCACAUAUACUAAAAAAUUGGCACGAUACAGAGAAGAUUAGCAUGGCCCCUGUGCAAGGAUGACACGCAAUUCAUGGAGUGUUCCAGAUUUUU